GAUCCCUACAGGGCUUAUUGCCCCAUUCACAGGGUCCCUUAAAAUGCUUUAUGCUUGGCGCUGAUGAGAACAGUUAGUUUUGAACACAAAAUGGCAUGGGACUUCAUCUAGGUGGCAAUACAUUGCCUUCUCACCAGCACAUUGAUCAAGUGAUACACAUUCAUUACUGCCAAUCUCAUUAUUUAUGUCUCAUUACAAUUGGUAUGUACAAUAUAUUUUCAUUAUCAGCAGUAUCAUUACAACUUGUGCAUCACCAGUAUCA